rnacentral:rRNA from 1 species
AUACGGAGGAUGCGAGCGUUAUCCGGAUUUAUUGGGUUUAAAGGGAGCGUAGGUGGGAUAUUAAGUCAGCUGUGAAAGUUUGGGGCUCAACCUUAAAAUUGCAGUUGAUACUGGUUUCCUUGAGUACGGUACAGGUGGGCGGAAUUCGUGGUGUAGCGGUGAAAUGCUUAGAUAUCACGAAGAACUCCGAUCGCGAAGGCAGCUCACCGGGCCGGAACUGACACUGAUGCUCGAAAGUGCGGGUAUCAAACAGGAUUAGAUCCCCUGGUAGUCCGCACAGUAAACGAUGAAUACUCGCUGUUUGCGAUACACUGUAAGCGGCCAAGCGAAAGCGUUAAGUAUUCAACCUGGGGAGUACGCCGGCAACGGUGAA